rnacentral:rRNA from 1 species
AACGAACGCUGGCGGCAGGCCUAACACAUGCAAGUCGAGCGCGCCCUUCGGGGUGAGCGGCGGACGGGUGAGUAACGCGUGGGAACGUGCCCUUUUCUACGGAAUAGCCUCGGGAAACUGAGAGUAAUACCGUAUACGCCCUUUGGGGGUAAGAUUUAUCGGAAAAGGAUCGGCCCGCGUUGGAUUAGGUAGUUGGUGGGGUAAUGGCCUACCAAGCCGACGAUCCAUAGCUGGUUUGAGAGGAUGAUCAGCCACACUGGGACUGAGACACGGCCCAGACUCCUACGGGAGGCAGCAGUGGGGAAUCUUAGACAAUGGGGGCAACCCUGAUCUAGCCAUGCCGCGUGAGUGAUGAAGGCCUUAGGGUUGUAAAGCUCUUUCAGCUGGGAAGAUAAUGACGGUACCAGCAGAAGAAGCCCCGGCUAACUCCGUG